rnacentral:rRNA from 1 species
GUUGUAAAGCACUUUAAUCAGAGAAGAAGCAUUUUAAGUUAAUACCUUAAUUUGUUGACGUUACCUGAAGAAUAAGGACCGGCUAACUCCGUGCCAGCAGCCGCGGUAAUACGGAGGGUCCAAGCGUUAAUCGGAAUUACUGGGCGUAAAGCGCGCGUAGGCGGUUUAGCAAGUUGAAUGUGAAAGCCCUGGGCUCAACCUAGGAACUGCAUUCAAAACUACUAAACUAGAGUACGAGAGAGGAGAGUAGAAUUUCUGGUGUAGCGGUGAAAUGCGUAGAUAUCAGAAGGAAUACCAAUGGCGAAGGCAGCUCUCUGGCUCGUCACUGACGCUAAGGUGCGAAAGCGUGGGUAGCAAACAGGAUUAGAUACCCUGGUAGUCCACGCCGUAAACGAUGAGAACUAGCCGUUGGGCAGAUUUAACUGUUCAGUGGCACAGCUAACGCAUUAAGUUCUCCGCCUGGGGAGUACGGCCGCAAGGCUAAAACUCAAAUGAAUUGACGGGGGCCCGCACAAGUGGUGGAGCAUGUGGUUUAAUUCGAUGCAACGCGAAAAACCUUACCUACCCUUGAAAUCCAGCGAAGUUUUCAGAGAUGAAAAUGUGCCUUCGGGAACGCUGUGACAGGUGUUGCAUGGCUGUCGUCAGCUCGUGUCGUGAGAUGUAUGGUUAAGUCCAGUAACGAGCGCAACCCCUAUCCUUAUUUGCCAGCGCGUUAAGGCGGGAACUAUAGGGAGACUGCCGGGUGAAACCCGGAGGAAGGCGGGGACGAGGUCAAGUCAUCAUGGCCCUUAUGGGUAGGGCUACACACGUGCUACAAUGGGAAGUACAGAGGGACGCGAAAGCGCGAGCUGGAGCUAAACCCUUAA